rnacentral:rRNA from 1 species
AUUGAACGCCGGCGGCAUGCCUUACACAUGCAAGUCGAACGGCAGCGGACCUUCGGGUGCCGGCGAGUGGCGAACGGGUGAGUAAUGCAUCGGAACGUGCCAUUGAGUGGGGGGAUAACGUAGCGAAAGUUGCGCUAAUACCGCAUAUUCUGUGAGCAGGAAAGCAGGGGACCGCAAGGCCUUGCGCUCUUUGAGCGGCCGAUGUCAGAUUAGCUAGUUGGUGAGGUAAAGGCUUACCAAGGCGACGAUCUGUAGCGGGUCUGAGAGGAUGAUCCGCCACACUGGAACUGAGACACGGUCCAGACUCCUACGGGAGGCAGCAGUGGGGAAUUUUGGACAAUGGGCGCAAGCCUGAUCCAGCCAUGCCGCGUGAGUGAAGAAGGCCUCGGUUGG